UACAUGGGGUGCAAACGUUGCUCGGAAUCAUUGGGCGUAAAGCGCGCGUAGGCGGUUGCUUAAGUCGGAUGUGAAAGCCCUCGGCUUAACUGAGGAAGUGCAUCCGAAACUGAGCAGCUAGAGUACGAAAGAGGGUCGCGGAAUUCCCGGUGUAGAGGUGAAAUUCGUAGAUAUACGGAGGAAUACCGGUGGCGAAGGCGGCCUCCUGGACCAUUUCUGACACUGAGACGCGAAAGCGUGGGGAGCAAACAGG
rnacentral:rRNA from 1 species